rnacentral:lncRNA from 1 species
AACUGCAUUUGGGGAAAUCAAGACCUGAGCAGAUCCUUUUUUUAUUUCCACUCAUUUUCAGGGUGGUUCUUCCCAAACAAUGCUAAGCAGUCAGAAUACUUUCCUUGAAGAGUUGGGCCUAGCAAUAUGGCAGCGCCCGUUCGAUAAGAAAUCUUGUAAAGUGCUGCUACUGAGGACCACGUGCUCCCCGACCCAUUGCCUUGACUGCUGCACACAUUGCAGGGCUAGACCUUUCCGAAAGCCGGGUGCUCCCAAAUUGCAUUUAGGGUCCUACCUAAAAGUUUUGCUGGUUUUACAAAGAUGCUCCACGCCUGCAGCUUCUGCUCUUGAUAACCUUUGGACAGAUGGCAAAAGUUUAACGUCUCUGGUGCUGGAUGGAACAGGAGUUUCGUGUAACCCAGCUCAAGCAGCCUUCCAAUAAAGGAAAAUUGUAUAUUUUAAUUGCAUACUUACCAGGCUGGAAAGGUUGAAGUGUUUUAUUUUAAGAACCUCCACAAGAAGUGGGAGAACUUUUUAAAAGCAUCCAAAUAACAAAAUUAUUUUCCAAGUGCUGACUGUUUCAUUUUUAUAGAGAAUAAUAUUAGCUUGCAUUGAUUUCGCUUGUCUUCUGAAGAAAGAGAAGAGGUAGAGAGCGAACAUUUUGUGACUCUUUAGGCACCAGUUAUUCUGACUGAUUUUGUUCAAAAACCCUCCCUU